ensembl:lncRNA
UCUGUCUAUUCAUCAUUUAAACCUAAACAAACAUUCUGAUGCUCAAGAUCCUUUUUGACACUUUUCACACAGUGAUUUCUAGCAAAUUAUCAGUUUUAUUGAAGAAUAUUUUCAUCCUGAUGAGGACUAAAAAUUCACAGAGCCAGAAGAAAGCGACUUCCAUCAUGGAAAAUUGUGCUGCUGAAGUCCAAGACAGCCUCACAGCAAAGAGAGUCUCUGCACAGCUAUCAGAGAGGAGGAGAAAGCCUGGAGCCUGUAGACGGUGUCAGUGCUUCAAGGAUGAGCAGCACACUCAAGUGAAACGCCAGCGCUCUCCAAGUGCAGACAUCCUUCCCCAGAAAAGGAGAAAAACCAAGGCCUCCACCUCAGAUGCAGACGACACACUCACAAGACCAUCAGCCACCAUCCCUGAUGCUGAGCUGCCUCCGGUCUCAAAUACAGCCCCCAACCUCCAACCUUCUACUGUUGUACCUCGGCCAGCAGGUGUACCAUGAAGUGGUCGAUGAUAUGCUGAGAGACAAGAACGGACAGCUCCGUCCAUACAGUUUGGAGCUGGGACGCCUCAUAAAGAAGAAGCUAUGGGAGAGACUGAACCGUCACACAAUGAUUAUGUCUACUGAUGAAGACGGCCGCCUUCACGUGGAUGUGACUUACGGAGUUGAAGAGUGUCCUCCUGAAUUUAAUGUGGAUACUACGGAAGAACCCGAGUGCUGAACUGAACAGCUCAGAGAAACAGUGAAAGAAAUGAGAACAGUUACUGAGUCUGUGUAAAUAAGCUUUAAAUAAUCUGUAAAUAAAACUUUUAAAUGAAUUCAUUAGUGACAAAAUCACCUGCAGGAGACAAUUUGCUGAGGCACCACCCCUCAGCUCCACCUUCACACUUUGCAUUCACUGUAAGACUGUCUGCCCACUCGGAUAAACUCCUCGUGCUCCUACUACAGCCUCCAUCCUCUUCUAGAAGUUUUUGCCAAAAAUAAAACAUCUAAAUGUAACCAA